CCUACGGGAGGCAGCAGUGAGGAAUAUUGGUCAAUGGACGAGAGUCUGAACCAGCCAAGUAGCGUGAAGGAUGACUGCCCUAUGGGUUGUAAACUUCUUUUAUAUGGGAAUAAAAUGUUCCACGUGUGGGAUUUUGUAUGUACCAUAUGAAUAAGGAUCGGCUAACUCCGUGCCAGCAGCCGCGGGAAUACGGAGGAUCCGAGCGUUAUCCGGAUUUAUUGGGUUUAAAGGGAGCGUAGGUGGAUUGUUAAGUCAGUUGUGAAAGUUUGCGGCUCAACCGUAAAAUUGCAGUUGAAACUGGCAGUCUUGAGUACAGUAGAGGUGGGCGGAAUUCGUGGUGUAGCGGUGAAAUGCUUAGAUAUCACGAAGAACUCCGAUUGCGAAGGCAGUUCACUGGACUGCAACUGACACUGAGGCUCGAAAGUGUGGGUAUCAAACAGGAUUAGAUACCCGAGUAGUC
rnacentral:rRNA from 1 species